CAGGGCUCGGGCUGCAUUAACACAGAGCCAAAUGUAGUCAGACUGCAGACUGAAGUGCCCCACGCCACGCCUCAGGCUGGCAGUCAAGGAAUUCCUACAUGUCCUCAGCAUGGGCAGAAAUGCAGGUUGAAAUUAAAAUUGGAGAAUUACUGAGGGCGGAAAGUGAGGAAAGCAUGUAAGCAGUAUAGCCCACUUCAAAUAGCUUGUCUGUGGCCAGAAGAAACAGGUGGCCCAGGUGUCUUUAACAUCUUUAUAAACUCUUAAAACAUGACCAUGCUUUUAAUAGAAAGUGUUGGUAAAAGCAACCAACUGUUUUCCUCUAAUAUCACUUUGCAAAUCCCUGUGGUUCUGUUCUCCUGAAUUUAGGAUAGUACCGGCAUCUGUGCCCCUGAGCAUAUUUUGAACAAUCAUUGAUGUAUAGCUAGACAUCCCAUCUGAACACUGAGCAAACAAAUAUUGCUAUUAUUCUGUUCCUUUUUUUUUUUUCUUUUGAGACGGAACCUCACUCUGUCACCCAGGCUGGAGUGCAGUGGUGCAACCUUGGCUCACUGCAGCAUGCGCCACCAUGCCUGGCUAAUUUUUGAAUUUUUAGUAGAGACAGGGUUUCUCCAUAUUGGCUAGGCUGGUUUUGAACUCCUGGCCUCAAGUGAUCCACCUGCCUCAGCCUCCCAAAGUGCUAAGGUUACAGGUGUGAGCCACUGCGCCCAGCCUACUCUGUUCCAUUUUAGCCUGGAAGUAUGUUAGGUCCCUGAAUGAAAGUUCAGAACUAAACAAAUUAAUGGACUGUCCCUUUUCCCUGUUUUGGCUAUUUCAUGGUAUUUACAUCUUGCAGAUAGCACAUAAAUGAGACAAGAAACUCCAGAUUUAAUACUCGUGUGAAGACUAAGCACUAACAUGCUUUACUAGGAGAUAAAUUACUUUGGAAAACAACAGGGUCCAAGAGUGUGUGUGUGCGUAUAUAUAUAUAUUUUUGUUGUUGUCGUUCACGCCAUUCUCCUGCCUUAGCCUCCUGAGUAGCUGGGACUACAGGCGCCCAGCACCACGCCCGGCUAAUUUUUUGUGUUUUUAGUAGAGAUGGGGUUUCACUGUGUUAGCCA
rnacentral:lncRNA from 10 species